rnacentral:tRNA from 1 species
CCGUCGAUAGUUCAGAUGGCAGAGCGGUGGACUGUAGAUCCAUAGGUCGCUGGUUCGACUCCGGCUCGGCGGA